GACGUAGGGCGCGAGCGUUGUCCGGAUUUAUUGGGCGUAAAGAGCUCGUAGGCGGUUUGUCGCGUCUGCUGUGAAAACCUAAGGCUCAACCUUGGGCUUGCAGUGGGUACGGGCAGACUAGAGUGCGGUAGGGGUGACUGGAAUUCCUGGUGUAGCGGUGGAAUGCGCAGAUACCAGGAGGAACACCGAUGGCGAAGGCAGGUCACUGGGCCGCAACUGACGCUGAGGAGCGAAAGCAUGGGGAGCGAACAGG
rnacentral:rRNA from 1 species